rnacentral:rRNA from 1 species
GACGGAGGAUGCAAGCGUUAUCCGGAAUUAUUGGGCGUAAAGCGUCCGCAGGUGGCUGUUCAAGUCUGCUGUCAAAGCGCAGAGCUUAACUCUGUACAGGCGGUGGAAACUGAAGAGCUAGAGUAUGGUAGGGGUAGAGGGAAUUCCCGGUGUAGCGGUGAAAUGCGUAGAUAUCGGGAAGAACACCAGUGGCGAAGGCGGCUCUCUGGGACGUGACUGACGCUGAGACGCGAAAGCGUGGGGAGCGAACAGG